GGGGAAUAUUGCACAAUGGGCGCAAGCCUGAUGCAGCGCACGUCGCGUGGAGGAUGAAGGGYUUCGGCUCGUAAACUCCUGUUAAGAGGGAAGAAAGACUGUAGGUUAAUAUCCUGCGGGGAUGACGGUACCUCUAGAGAAAGCACCGGUCAACUUG
rnacentral:rRNA from 1 species